rnacentral:snRNA from 1 species
GGAUUUCGGCGCAAAACC